CUUCACCGUCGGCGUCAUGUAUCGGCCGCCGUCGAACACCCGCUCUGGCGGUGGGGGUUUCCGCCACCCAUCCUACCCCCCUCAGAAUCUUAACUUCGCCUUUCCCGGCAAUCUUCAAGGCCAUGUAAACCCUCCAGAACCCUAGCUUCCUCCAACCUCCCAUUAUGCGCUACCUCCUGAACCGAUUCUUUCCUCAGCCGAAUCCUUCCCCCAAGCCCUUCUUGACGGGGUUGAUGCCGCCGCCACUAAGGCUCACCGGGACCUCGUCGCCGCCGGUCAGAACGUCUCGUCGUGGAAAGUGUCGCAGGCCUCUCUCCUCGCUCUAAAGAUCGAAUCUUGGAGCGCCUUAGGGUUUCAAAUUCAGGAUGUUCCAUCCCUCCACAGCCUAAUCGUCACACAAGCAAAGGUUCUCGAUAUGAUGGUGAAUUUUUAUGCUACAACAGUGGAGCAAAAGAAAAAGGUUGAAGAGAAUCUUGUUGUCACACCCCUGGUGUUCUCACAGAAUAUUGCUGUAAAUUUGCCCUCAGCAAUGUUAUUUCUCUCUUAUAUGAAAAUUUUCAGCAACAGUCAUAAACUGAAGGUAGAUAGACACCUAUAGAGAUAUCUUCCAAUUUGUUUAUGAGCAUUCAUUUAUGGGAUGUACAUACUGUUUUCUAUAUUAAGUUCAUUUGGAUGUUUGAA